rnacentral:rRNA from 1 species
GAUGAACGCUGGCGGCGUGCCUAAUACAUGCAAGUCGAGCGAACGGACGAGAAGCUUGCUUUUCUGAUGUUAGCGGCGGACGGGUGAGUAACACGUGGAUAACCUACCUAUAAGACUGGGAUAACUUCGGGAAACCGGAGCUAAUACCGGAUAAUAUUUUGAACCGCAUGGUUCAAAAGUGAAAGACGGUCUUUCUGUCACUUAUAGAUGGAUCCGCGCUGCAUUAGCUAGUUGGUAAGGUAACGGCUUACCAAGGCAACGAUGCAUAGCCGACCUGAGAGGGUGAUCGGCCACACUGGAACUGAGACACGGUCCAGACACCUACGGGAGGCAGCAGUAGGGAAUCUUCCGAAAUGGGCGAAAGACUGACGGAGCAACGGCGCGUGAGUGAUGAAGGUCUUCGGAUCGUAAAACUCUGUUAUUAGGGAAGAACAUAUGUGUAAGUAACUGUGCACAGCUUGACGGUACCUAAUCAGAAAGCCACGGCUAACUACGUG